AAUUCAUGAUGAGGGCAUCGCCUUAGAAGAUCCUUGAAUCUCUCAUGUGCUUUGAAUAGUGUUUCAAACUCUCCUUGAUUGCAUGCUGAGAUCUCUUAUUUGAUCUU